UACAGAGGGUGCGAGCGUUAAUCGGAAUUACUGGGCGUAAAGCGUGCGUAGACGGUUAUUUAAGUCGGGUGUGAAAGCCCCGGGCUCAACCUGGGAAUUGCAUUCGAGACUGAAUAGCUAGGGUACGGUAGAGGGAAGCGGAAUUUCCGGUGUAGCGGUGAAAUGCGUAGAUAUCGGAAGGAACAUCAGUGGCGAAAGCGGCUUCCUGGACCAGUACCGACGUUCAGGCACGAAAGCCGUGGG
rnacentral:rRNA from 1 species